rnacentral:rRNA from 1 species
UUUCUUCGGAAUGAAGUUUUAGUGACUGGAGUGGCGGACGGGUGAGGUAACGCGUGGGUAACCUGCCUCACACAGGGGGAUAACAGUUGGAAACGGCUGCUAAUACCGCAUGAGCGCACAGUACCGCAAUGGGUACAGUGUGAAAAACUCCGGUGGUGUGAGAUGGACCCGCGUCUGAUUAGCUAGUUGGCAGGGCAACGGCCUACCAAGGCGACGAUCAGUAGCCGACCUGAGAGGGUGACCGGCCACAUUGGGACUGGAGACACGGCCCAAACUCC